rnacentral:misc_RNA from 1 species
AUGGUGUCCCUAUGUUGCUUGUGAAGAUGGUUGGAUCAGAUGAGAAUUAGCCAGGAGUGAUUAGGCCUUCAAAUCUUCAAGGAGGAUUGAGGCCUGGUGUUGGAGGAAAAGUGACCGGAUGGUUGGGCAAAAUAGGAGGGCACUAAGCAAAAUCAAUAGAAAUGUAAUGGGAGGUCCCCCAUUACACACUGCUGUUGUUCCCAAGAGAAAUGACAUUACUGAAAACAAAGUCAAUGCUGCUACUAACAAGAUCCCUCCUGUUCUGAUUCACCGUCCGGUUACAAGGAAGUUAGCUGCGCAAAUCUCAAGCCAACAGCGUCAUCCAGCAGUCGAGGUGCACACUUUCAAGGAAUCAGAAGACUGCAUUAUUAUUGAUGCUGAAGAUUACAAGACCACUAGUAAUUCCUCUGUGUCAAUGUUUGUGCAACAUACAGAAGCGAAGACGGAGGAAAUUGAUAGGAUGGUAAGCUGAUAUGAUCUUUGUAUCUUGAUUUUCAAUGUGCGUUUGGAAAUAGAGAUGGAAGAUGCAGAAGAUUGGUCAAUUGUGGACAUAGACAGUCCUGAUAAAAAGAACUCACUUGCAGUAGUGGAAUACACCGACGACAUCUAUGCUUACUACAAGAAGGCUG